rnacentral:rRNA from 1 species
GAUGAACGCUGGCGGCGUGCCUAAUACAUGCAAGUCGAGCGAACAGACGAGGAGCUUGCUCCUUUGACGUUAGCGGCGGACGGGUGAGUAACACGUGGAUAACCUACCUAUAAGACUGGGAUAACUUCGGGAAACCGGAGCUAAUACCGGAUAACAUGUUGAACCGCAUGGUUCAACAGUGAAAGACGGUCUUGCUGUCACUUAUAGAUGGAUCCGCGCCGCAUUAGCUAGUUGGUAAGGUAACGGCUUACCAAGGCAACGAUGCGUAGCCGACCUGAGAGGGUGAUCGGCCACUCUGGAACGGAGCCACGGUCCAGACUCCUACGGGAGGCAGCAGUAGGGAAUCUUCCGCAAUGGGCGAAAGCCUGACGGAGCAACGCCGCGUGAGUGAAGAAGGUCUUCGGAUCGUAAAACUCUGUUAUUAGGGAAGAACAAAUGUGUAAGUAACUAUGCACGUCUUGACGGUACCUAAUCAGAAAGCCACGGCUAACUACGUG